UGAGUAACCUGCCCUUAACUCUGGGAUAAGCCUGGGAAACUGGGUCUAAUACCGGAUAUGACUCCUCAUCGCAUGGUGGGGGGUGGAAAGCUUUAUUGUGGUUUUGGAUGGACUCGCGGCCUAUCAGCUUGUUGGUUAGGUAAUGGCUCACCAAGGCGACGACGGGUAGCCGGCCUGAGAGGGUGACCGGCCACACUGGGACUGAGACACGGCCCAGACUCCUACGGGAGGCAG
rnacentral:rRNA from 1 species